rnacentral:rRNA from 1 species
UACGUAGGGGGCAAGCGUUGUCCGGAAUCAUUGGGCGUAAAGCGCGUGUAGGCGGCCCGGUAAGUCCGCUGUGAAAGUCGGGGGCUCAACCCUCGAAAGCCGGUGGAUACUGUCGGGCUCGAGUACGGGAGAGGCGAGUGGAAUUCCUGGUGUAGCGGUGAAAUGCGCAGAUAUCAGGAGGAAUACCGAUGGCGAAGGCAGGUCUCUGGGCUGACACUGACGCUCAUGCACGAAAGCGUGGGGAGCAAACAGG